rnacentral:rRNA from 1 species
AUUGAACGCUGGCGGCAGGCUUAACACAUGCAAGUCGAACGAGUGGCGGACGGGUGAGUAAUGCUUGGGAAUCUGGCUUAUGGAGGGGGAUAACGACGGGAAACUGUCGCUAAUACCGCGUACCAUAGGAUGAGCCCAAGUGGGAUGAGGUCGUUGGUGGGGUAAUGGCCUACCAAGCCGACGAUCACUAGCUGGUCUGAGAGGAUGACCAGCCACCCUGGGACUGAAACACGGCCCGGACUCCUACGGGCGGCAGCAGGGGGGAAUAUUGGACAAUGGGCGAAAGCCUGAUCCAGCCAUGCCGCGUGUGUGAAGAAGUUCUUCGGAUUGUAAAGCACGUUAAGUUGGGAGGCGUUACCAACAGAAUAAGCACCGACUAACUUCGUGCCAGCAGCCGCGGUAAUUC